CCCGGAUCGAAGAGACAGCGGAGGACAUUA
rnacentral:rRNA from 1 species